rnacentral:rRNA from 1 species
GGAUCAUUACUGAGCUUGGGUCUUUCAGGCCCGACCUCCCAACCCUUUGUUUACCUAACUUAUGUUGCUUCGGCGGGCCCGCCUCACGGCCGCCGGGGGGCCCUUUGGGGAUCCUCUGGCCUGCGCCCGCCGAUGGCCUCAACCAAAACUCUUGUUAAAUAAAUCGUGCCUUGUCUGAGUCUUAUGAAAAAUAAACGCAAAACUUUCAACAACGGAUCUCUUGGUUCUGGCAUCGAUGAAGAACGCAGCGAAAUGCGAUAAGUAAUGCGAAUUGCAGAAUUCUAGUGAGUCAUCGAAUCUUUGAACGCACAUUGCGCCCUUUGGCAUUCCGAAGGGCAUGCCUGUUCGAGCGUCAUUAUCUCCCCUCAAGCCCCCCGGCUUGGUGUUGGAAGGCCUGGUGUCCCCCCGGGGACACCCCUCCCAAAGUUAAUGACGGCGGCCUGUUGAACCCCCGGUACACGGAGCUUGAUCUCUAAGCACGUAUCGGUCCUUAAGUGGUCAACGGGUGUCCGGUCUCCUCCCCUCGCGGGAAGAAAUUUCUAAGGUUGACCUCGGAUCAGGUAGGAAUACCCGCUGAACUUAAGCAUAUCAAUAAGCGGAGGAAAAGAAACCAACAGGGAUUGCCUUAGUAACGGCGAGUGAAGCGGCAAGAGCUCAAAUUUGAAAUCUGGCCUCUUUGGGGUCCGAGUUGUAAUUUGUAGAGGAUGUUUCGGGUACCGCCUCGGUUUAAAUUUCUUGGAACAGAAUGUCAAAGAGGGUGAGAAUCCCGUCUUGGACCGGUGGUAGGGCCCGUGUGAAACUCCUUCGACGAGUCGAGUUGUUUGGGAAUGCAGCUCAAAAUGGGUGGUAAAUUUCAUCUAAAGCUAAAUAUUGGCCAGAGACCGAUAGCGCACAAGUAGAGUGAUCGAAAGAUGAAAAGCACUUUGAAAAGAGAGUUAAACAGUAUGUGAAAUUGUUGAAAGGGAAGCGCUUGCAACCAGACUUGUGCGCGGUGGUUCCCCUAUCCUUUUGGAUGGGUUACUCCGCCGCGUCCAGGCCAACAUCGGUUCUGGGGGUCGGUCAAAGGCCUUGGGAAUGUAUCUACCCUCCGGGCGUAGACUUAUAGCCCUUGGUGUCAUGCGACCUCCCGGGACCGAGGAACGCGCUUCGGCUCGGAUGUUGGCGUAAUGGUUGUCAGCGACCCGUCUUGAAACACGGACCAAGGAGUCUAACAUCUAUGCGAGUGUUUGGGUGUCAAACCCGGAACGCGGAAUGAAAGUGAACGGAGGUAGGAAGCUUCGGCUGCACUAUCGACCGAUCCUGAUGUCUUCGGAUGGAUUUGAGUAAGAGCAUAGCUGUUGGGACCCGAAAGAUGGUGAACUAUGCCUGAAUAGGGUGAAGCCAGAGGAAACUCUGGUGGAGGCUCGCAGCGGUUCUGACGUGCAAAUCGAUCGUCAAAUUUGGGUAUAGGGGCGAAAGACUAAUCGAACCAU